rnacentral:rRNA from 1 species
GGACGGGUGAGUAACGCGUAGAAUUUACCAAAAGGACUGGGACAACCACUGGAAACGGUGGCUAAUACCGGAUGAACCGAAAAGUAAAAAGGGAAACCUGCCUUUUGAAGAGCUCGCGUCUGAUUAGCUAGUUGGUGAGGUAAGAGCUCACCAAGGCAGCGAUCAGUAGCUGGUCUGAGAGGAUGACCAGCCACACUGGGACUGAGACACGGCCCAGACUCCUACGGGAGGCAGCAGUGGGGAAUUUUCCGCAAUGGGCGAAAGCCUGACGGAGCAAUACCGCGUGAGGGAAGAAGGCUCUUGGGUCGUAAACCUCUUUUAUCAGGGAAGAAAAAAAUGACGGUACCUGAAGAAUCAGCCUCGGCUAACUCCGUGCCAGCAGCCGCGGUAAUACGGAGGAGGCAAGCGUUAUCCGGAAUUAUUGGGCGUAAAGCGUCCGCAGGUGGCUUAUCAAGUCUGCUGUCAAAGAGUGGGGCUUAACCCCAUUAAGGCAGUGGAAACUGAGAAGCUAGAGUGCCGUAGGGGUAGAGGGAAUUCCCGGUGUAGCGGUGAAAUGCGUAGAGAUCGGGAAGAACAUCGGUGGCGAAAGCGCUCUACUGGACGGCAACUGACACUCAGGGACGAAAGCUAGGGGAGCGAAAGGGAUUAGAUACCCCUGUAGUCAA